GACGAACGCUGGCGGCGUGCUUAACACAUGCAAGUCGAACGAUGAAGCCGGAGCUUGCUCUGGUGAAUUAGUGGCGAACGGGUGAGUAACACGUGAGUAACCUGCCCUUGACUCUGGGAUAACUGCGGGAAACUGUAGCUAAUACCGGAUACGACCCUCGGAGGCAUCUCCUGGGGGUGGAAAGAAUUUCGGUCAAGGAUGGACUCGCGGCCUAUCAGCUAGUUGGUGAGGUAAAGGCUAACCAAGGCGACGACGGGUAGCCGGCCUGAGAGGGUGACCGGCCACACUGGGACUGAGACACGGCCCAGACUCCUACGGGAGGCAGCAGUGGGGAAUAUUGCACAAUGGGCGCAAGCCUGAUGCAGCAACGCCGCGUGAGGGAUGACGGCCUUCGGGUUGUAAACCUCUUUUAGUAGGGAAGAAGCGAAAGUGACGGUACCUGCAGAAAAAGCACCGGCUAACUACGUGCCAGCAGCCGCCGUAA
rnacentral:rRNA from 1 species